GCAGUCGAGCGGUAGAGAGAAGCUUGCUUCUCUUGAGAGCGGCGGACGGGUGAGUAAUGCCUAGGAAUCUGCCUGGUAGUGGGGGAUAACGUUCGGAAACGGACGCUAAUACCGCAUACGUCCUACGGGAGAAAGCAGGGGACCUUCGGGCCUUGCGCUAUCAGAUGAGCCUAGGUCGGAUUAGCUAGUUGGUGAGGUAAUGGCUCACCAAGGCGACGAUCCGUAACUGGUCUGAGAGGAUGAUCAGUCACACUGGAACUGAGACACGGUCCAGACUCCUACGGGAGGCAGCAGUGGGGAAUAUUGGACAAUGGGCGAAAGCCUGAUCCAGCCAUGCCGCGUGUGUGAAGAAGGUCUUCGGAUUGUAAAGCACUUUAAGUUGGGAGGAAGGGUUGUAAAUUAAUACUCUGCAGUUUUGACGUUACCGACAGAAUAAGCACCGGCUAACUCUGUGCCAGCAGCCGCGGUAAUACAGAGGGUGCAAGCGUUAAUCGGAAUUACUGGGCGUAAAGCGCGCGUAGGUGGUUUGUUAAGUUGGAUGUGAAAUCCCCGGGCUCAACCUGGGAACUGCAUUCAAAACUGACUGGCUAGAGUAUGGUAGAGGGUGGUGGAAUUUCCUGUGUAGCGGUGAAAUGCGUAGAUAUAGGAAGGAACACCAGUGGCGAAGGCGACCACCUGGACUAAUACU
rnacentral:rRNA from 1 species